CUCAUGCACGCGGGAGAACUGGCGCAAAGCUGGUGCCGAAGGAGCAACCGCCCCGGAAACUCUCAGGCCAAAAGGACCGUGUGCCAAAG
rnacentral:ncRNA from 3 species